GUCAAAUGUUUCUUAUUCUGUGAAUUGAAUUCAAAAACAUUUGAAAGAUGGUGUCUCAGACCACAAAGUCACCAUGUCCAACUGACUGGAUGUGCCUAAUUUGGCAUGUCUAGUGAAUUUUUUGUUCUUUUUUUGUUUUGUUUUUAUUGUUGUUGUGAGCAAGAUGGACAGAUAUAAGCCAAUCAUGCCUUUCUAAGGAGUAACUCUCAGGUAUCAAGAAAAAACACAGGUAAUGUUGGGCCAACUGGGAAACAGGUUUUGGGGUGUGGCUUCUCAAAGAGGUGACUGUACUCCCUGGGAGUGGUGGAACUGUAGGUGAGUGCAAGUAAAGCCAAAAGGAGAGUCUGCUGUUCAGUGCUCAACCCAAAUUAAUUCUUGUCAGAAAAUUUCCAGGGUUUUAUGGAACAGCAGCAUCCCCACCAUUUUUCUUUUUUUGCAUGUAUGUGUACCGGGGAUUGAACUCAGGGGCACUUGACCACUGAGCCACAUCCCCAGCCCUAUUUUGUAUUUUACUUAGAGACAGGUUCUCACUGAGUUGCUUAGUGCCUCACUGUUGCCAAGCUGGCUUUAAACUCGCAAUCCUCCUACCUCAGCUUCCUGAGCCACUGGGAUUACAAGUGUGCUCCACCUCGCCUGGCCAUCCUCACCAUUUUUGUUUGUUUGUUUUUACAUGGCCCACAUUGUUGAUUCCCUACCUAAUGGCCAUCCCUUACUUUCUUCCUUCCUAAUGGAGACCUGAUUUUUGUUUUCAU
rnacentral:lncRNA from 1 species